AAGAGCAUGAAGCAAAUCAGGGUAUGAGUAUGCUUGAAUUAAUUAUUUUGUCUUCCUUCAGAUGUCUGUAUUACUGGUGAAAUGCUUACUGUAAUGUAUUGUAUACUGUUCCAAGGUUUAUGAAGGUAGAUGUUAUUGAAGUAAGGUUUUUCUUUUUCUGAACAAUACAAAGUAAAGGAGGGGUCCUUUAUUUUAUGGAUAAGCUGUAAUUUAAGGUGUUUUCACAUCAUAUUGUCAAGAUUAUCUUUUGUGGAAUACAUAGAAUUAGAUAGUGUUUUGGAAUACUAAAAUUGAAUUAAAUAAUUGUUUUGCAUAAGGUUCCAUGUAUCAUUAGAUUUUGUCUUUUAAGUUUUGGUACGUCUCAUUACAGUGCUAUAUGAGUGCUCUUAAGAAGUUUGAUACUUUUCUUUGGGGCCAGAAUUUUGAGUUACUUAGUAUUUUCCUUUUUGAACCCUUCUUUGCAGGUUGAACUGGAG
rnacentral:misc_RNA from 1 species